CCUGCCACUGCCGGCUACCGGCCUGCGCAAACAGCGUAGCUAAGGCAUUCUCCGCUUGUUGCUAAGCAGGGCCAGCGCCAAGGACGUAGUUGGGGAAUAGGAAGCUGGGGCCGUUAUUAGCGUUGGGCAGGGCGCUGAGGAGAGAAGUGACCGAGCCAGCGAGCUGGGGAGGCGAUGUCCCUCCAGUAGGGACGGGAAGAGAGAGACUCUUCUUAGGAGGGGUACUGAUCCAAGUGGGAUUGCCCCUCAAGACUUUGCUCCAGGACUAUCAGGCUGGACUCCAGGACUGACAAAUAGAAUCUCCGCCUUCAGAUGUGGUUGCGGGGGUGGAAUGUUUCAAACAGUUGCUAUGGUCACACAGUAGCAUGCGGAGCUGCCCGAGUAGCUAAGAACCUGCUGCAUCAGCUGCUAUAUGGUUUCAUGUCUAACUAAGACAGACUGGAUUUGGAGGAUGAAGUCCAGCCUAAUGCAUUUGAUUCCUCCAGUGAGUAGGGACAGAAUAAUCUCCCACUUCCCCAAGAUCCAAGUGACUGCUCUGUAUUAUCUGCAGUGGUACACACCAGAGGCCUGUCUCCAGUUCAAAGACCACUUCCAUGCACUGGUCAGGAGUGCCUGUCAGCAACGCAACACUGGGACAGUUGGGCUGAAAAUAUCCAAAGUGGUUGUGGUAGGAGACCUCUAUGUUGGGAAAACCAGCCUCAUCAACAGGUUUUGUAAAGAUAUUUUUGACCGAGACUACAAGGCAACCAUUGGAGUGGAUUUUGAAAUUGAACGGUUUGAAAUAGCUGGAGUGCCAUAUAAUCUCCAGAUAUGGGACACGGCAGGUCAGGAAAAGUUCAAGUGCAUUGCAUCUGCUUACUACAGAGGAGCAGAGGUUAUUAUAACAGUGUUUGAUCUGGCUGAUAUCCAGACUUUGGAACACACGAAGCAGUGGCUAGAGGAUGCAUUGAGGGAGAAUGAGCCAGGGUCUAGCUUCAUCUUUCUGGUUGGAACAAAGAAAGAUUUAGUGUCAGGUGCCGCAUGUGAGCGGACAGAACUGGAUGCCAUUCGCUUUGCCAAUGAGAUGCAGGCUGAAUACUGGUCUGUCUCAGCAAAAACAGGGGAAAAUGUAAAGGAGUUUUUUUCUCGAGUUGCUGCCUUGGCCUUUGAACAGUCUAUGCUGAAGGAGCUGGAGAAGAGCAAUGGUCGCAUGGCCCAGAUUGGGGCAGGAAACCUCAUCAAAAUAGAAGGAAAUUCACUGGAGACUCCAGAAAGCAACAGCCAAGCCAGCCUGAACUGCUGCUAGCUGCCAGUCAUUUCUGCAAGCAUCACACCUCCAUCUGCAUGUGCGUACACCUGCAUGGCGCACCUGCAGCGGGGAAAGCUCUCAAGCAGCUUCCAGUUGAGAGAUGGAAAGUCCGUUUAUCUCAGGAAAGAAUGGAGGAGCUGAAAAUGAUUCAAGCAGCUUCCCUUCAGACAGAAGAUCUCUCUCCCACCCCUUGCUUUGUGCUCUCCUUGUGCAGGCAGCACAAUGAUGGGACAUGGCUUUUUGACGCAUGUUACAACCAAAGAAAUGAACUUGAUCACCCCUCUCCAUGCUAGAUAACUGUGAGCUGGUAAGGUUAGAUGCUACAGUGUGGCUGGGCAUAUAAUUGGUUUGACUGCCCUCGCUGGAAAAAGUAUUCCAGUCCCUUGAUGCUAGUGGUGGAGAAGCAUUUUUGUCCUUAUUUUCAUAUUACUUUUACCAAAAUGGUGUGUGUUUAUGUGUACUUGCACUCUUUCUACAUAGAAAGAGAGAGUGAGAGUUUUCCAAUACAGAAACCCCAACGUGCUUGCCGUGUGCAGGUCUCUUACUUGAAUGGCUGUUGCAGAACAAGCACUGUCUACGUGAUUGCUGCAGCCUGGUGAGCUUGUCAGGUCAUGCAUGCACCUUCCCUGGUUUCCUCUAUUAUUCCAAGAGUCAAAUGCCCUUCUGCCCUACCCCUAUACGUUUUUGGUUCUUUAGGAGCUAGGAUGAUCAUGUGUUAAAACAAAGCCCAUCUAACAUGGAAUAGAUUGUAUGAAAAUCAGAGGAACUGGAAAAUAGAGUGAAGCAACUCUGUGUUGGAGAGUCUUCUGCUGUGUGGCCAGAUCUGACUUGGCGUCAUAGGAACUCCUGUUUAAACCUUGUUAGUUGUCCCUGCUGAUUUAAAUGGCACGGUAUUGUCAGAAAUAAUUGUAAUACAUACCUGCUAGAUCAGUAUUUGUGAGACUGCUUUUACUAUGCAUGAUUAUUGUUUAUAAAUCUCUGAUCUUAUUGGUUGUGCUUAUUGAACAUCAGCGUAUACUGCAAAAGUACAAGGCAAACUUCAAGAAAUAACACCCAAGGGUAUGUUCAAAGAAACUAGCUGAUAUCUAUGGUCAUACAUCAACAUAAAGAAAUGGACUUAAGAUUUCAUAUAGAACACACUACCUUAUUCUUACACUCUUCUUUACUGGAACAAAUUUUAGACAGAAAGAAGGAAUUUAAACAAGGCAAUCUCUCACUGAUUUGUAACAUUCAGCCUCAUGUACCUAAUAGGCAGUAUUCCUCCAAACAUAAAAGAGGUAUUGUAAAUCUUUCACCUACAUGAAAUCAGGAAAACUCAGAGCCAUAAAAAACUACUAUAAACAUUGAGUCAAUUAACGAAUCACCCUCAAGAAUCAAACCAAGGCAUUAAACCACCAUUCCAGAAAUCUUGUUCACCAAUAAUUUGGUGUCCAAAAAGCCCUGGGGCCAAUGGAAUCACUCUGAAUUUACACCAGCAUAAGUGAGAGCAGAAUGUUUUCAUAAGGUCCAGUAUACUCCUAGUACAAUGUUUUGGAGGGAAAGAAAACAGAAGACCUUAGGACACUUAUUAAUUAUUAACCCCAUCAUGUAGUCGCUACACAUGCAUCAGUAAACAAGGUGCUGAAUGUAACAAUCGAAUUGGAGCCUAACACCUCAAAACAUACCAAGGAAAAUAACAGAAAGAUCUUUGGUAAUAUAAAAAAUAACCAGACACAAUGGGCCUGAUUUUCAGUUAUUCCAUUUCUGCAUUUAGAUAGGGAUUGGGGGGGAAAGUGAGGAGAAAUGUGGCUUAAAACUGCCUUUGUGUUUCCCAUAUACGGUUUUGCUCACAACGUAAAUUAGAACAGUCUCAUGGAAUUGUAUGUAUGCAACUUCUCUUAGGAAUUGUAUGUCUUCCUUUCAUCUUCAGAGAAGGCUGUUCUUGGCAAGCAUGCCAGUCCUGUUGGCACAAAAUGAGUGUACCAUUUGGUGGAGGAGGUGAAUGUGUGCCUGUGUAGACCAUAAUGUUUUGACCUUAUAUUCUGUGAGGUUGUUUAUCUCUCAAAACUGUUUCAUGAUGAUGACUAAUAGAUACUCCCUUAAACCAUG